AAUAAAAGAAAAAGAACGAAGAGGAAAUAGUAGGAUCGGUGAGUCAUCAGAAAGGCUUUCAUGUAAUUCAUUUUCUUGAUCAAGAAAUUUUUAAUUAAUCUUCAUGAAGAUGUCCUCAGUAGCUGGCUUCUAUUCUUCUUUCUUGUUAAAUGGCCAGCUACUAUUGAGGACAUCAAAUUCAUGAAGAAAAAUAAAAUUUCUUGUCUUAGAAAAUGAAUGAUGAUGGAACCGUCAGGAAUCUUCUCUUUCUUUCUUCUGGUCGUUCAUCUUCGAUGAGCGCUUAAGCGCACGACCAAGAGAAAGAAAGUGAUUCCUGACGUUAUGUUCCAUCAUGUUUCCUUCUCUUGAGCUCCUCUUCUUUCUUUUUUAAUGUUGGCAGAAGAAUAAAAGAAAAGGAAUAACUGCCAACAUUUUUAAAAAAGAAAGAGAUGGAGCGAGAGAAGGAAACGAUUAGCCGUGCGGAUUAGAAAGAGCUCGUGGGC
rnacentral:ribozyme from 11 species